CAGCUACUCAGGAGGCUGAGGCAGGAGAAUCGCUUGAAUCCGGGUGGUGGAGGUUCCAGUGUGUCGAGAUCGCGCCAUUGCACUCCAGCCUGGGCAACAAGAGCAAAAUUCCGUCUCAAAAAAUAAAAUAAAAUAAAAUAUAAAAUAAAAUAAAAUAAAAUAAAUAAAAUAAAAUAAAAUAAAAUAAAAUAAAUAAAAAAGGAGCUGUCCAAGAAAGAGAUGUCAGUGUUUGGUCAUGGAGGUGGUGCCCACCUGUAGUCCCAGCUACUCAGGAGGCUGAGGCGGGAGACCACUUGAGCCCAGGAGGUCUGGGCUGCAGUGUGCUGUGCUGAUUGGGUGUCCACACUAAGUUCAGCAUCAGUAUGGUGAGCUCCCAGGAGUGGGGCACCACCAGGUUGCCUAAGGAGGGAUGAACUGGCCCAGGUCAGAAAUAGAGUAGGUCAAAACUCCUAUGCUGAUUGGUAAUGGGAUUACUACACCUGUGAAUGGCCAGUGCACUCCAACCUUGGCAACAUAGUGAGAUCCCAUCUCUAAAAAAAAAGAAUGAAAAACAGAAUUUGUAAUGGAUCAGAAGGGGGUAGGGAGGGAGGGAAAGAGGAAUCAAAAAGGCUCCUAGAUUAUUGGCUUGAGCAACUGCAUGAUGAUCGUGCCACUUGGUAUAUGGAAAGAUAGGAAGAGGAGCAGAUUUGGAGGCAACUGAAACAAGAAUUCCAUUUUAGACACUGAUUUUGAGAUGUCUAUUAAUUAUGCUCAGAGAAGGUCAGGGCUGUAAAUGUAAACUUGGGUGUUGUCAGCAUAGAGAUGGUAGUUAGAAGGCCAUUAGAGUGGAUGCUAUCAACACUGGAGAUAGUUUGACAACAGGACAGAGGACAGAGCCUGGGGACUCCUACAUUUAAGGCCCAGCAGAACAGCAAAGUCAUCCAAAGAACCUGAGAGGUUGAAAUAAACAGGUAAGUGACUACUGGAUUUGGCAAGACGGAGGUCACUGGUGACUCUGACAAAACCAAGUGCAGUAGAAAGGAAGCCUGAUUGGACUGGGCUGCCAAGGGAAGAGGAGUUGAUGGAGUGGGACAUUAUCUCUAAACUCUAAACAAGAAGUUUUGCUACGAAUGAGAGCAGAAAAAUGAGGUGGCAGUUAAGGGAGGGCAUGUUAUAGGCUGAUGGGGAUGCACCAAAGGAGAAACUGAUAUAGAAACAGAGGGCUCAAUUAUAAGAGCAAAGUCAUGGAUGAAUCAAGAAAGGACAGGAUCUGGAGUACCAAUAGACAAGUGGGCCUUUAGUGAGAGCAGGGACAUUUGCUCUAUCAUAACAAGUGGGGUAAGAAGGCUCUUAUGUAUCUUAGGGUCCCCAACUACUAGUAUGGAGUGGGGCUGAGAGCAGGCCCUUGAGAAAUGGUGGCUAUGAUUCUAUGGCUAACAAUGGCUCAGCUCUCAACUCCAGGAUCACCUCCUCCUGGGGCCAUCUCUGACUCCCAUUUGAUGCCUCUUUCAGUUCCCACAUACCUAGUGUUUCUCCCAACAUGGCAUUUAGGAAAUAUUUGUAGAAUGGAUCAUGUUUGACACACAGAGCAGAUCAUUUUUAUACCCCCCUCCUCUAAAAAUAAAAUUAUUUCCAUAAUUCAAAUUUCAUAUUUUCAAAUCAUCAUAAAAUGAAACAAAUCAUAAUAAUGGCCAGAAAAAGGAAAGGCAAAAGUGAAAAAUUUAUUUGCCAAAAUUUGUAUGCAUACUCACAUCAUAAAAUAAAUACAUAAAAUUAAUAUUAUGGCUCCAAAAAAUGAAAAAGGCACAACUAUUUAUUUCAAUCAUUUUCACAUCUACCUGUUUAAAUUUUGAUCCUUUCUUUACAAUCUGAUAUACUCCCUUAUGUAAAUGGUCAUCCAGCAACCAACAAGCAAAUUUUAAUAAAACCAAAGCAUCUAAAUAAGAUACAAUUUAGGCAAUAAUACUUAGGCUAUAACAUUUAUUUCCUUUAUUCAUCUUUCAUUUUAAAACCAUUAACAAGUAUAAAGGAAUAGGUUUUCAUUUCAAAGGUAAAUUUUUAUUCAAAUUCAGUAACAUAUUUCAUGUACAAAUUAAAAAUUUGCACUUAACAAACAAAAAUGUUUUGCCUCUCAGUUUGCACUCUGUCCCACUGGUUUUUGUUUUUUUUUUGUUUUGGUUUUUUUUUUUUUUUUUUUUUUGACACAGAGUCUCGCUCCAUUGCCCAGGCUAGAGUGCAGUGGCGCGAUCUCGGCUCACUGCAAGCUCCGCCUCCCGGGUUCAUGCCAUUCUCCUGCCUCAGCCUCCCAAGUAGCUGUGACUACAGGCGCCUGCCACCACUCUUGGCUAAUUUUUUUGUGUGUGUGUAUUUGUAGUAGAGACGGGGUUUCACUGUGUUAGCCAGGAUGGUCUCGAUCUCCUGACCUCAUGAUCCGCCCACCUCGGCAUCCCAAAGUGUUGGGAUUACAGGCAUGAGCCACCGCGCCUGGCCUGUCCCACUGUUUUAACACAAAAGUCCAACUGGUUACAUAGAAUGACAGAAUUGAAAAAAGUCAAGCCCUGUUUGUCUUUGUCAUCACUGACAGUAACUCAUGAUUGUUUAUUCUGAAUCUACAGUGUAAACUUGGAUGUGUCUAAUACCACAGGGGUAGGAGAUGUGACCCUUGCCUAAAGUGAGCUCCAAAGAUGGGUAUUGGUGUGACUAUAUAACCAAGCAUUCUCCAAAUGAACUUCCACAUAGAAUGCAAUAUUUAUUAAAGGAUCGCUAAUAAAAAUGUGUUAGUGUGAAGUUUACAUGUACAAAUAAAAUUCAGUAUCUACAGCAAUUAUUUAGAACUUAAACCAACAAAAGAUUUUUUAGGAGAGGAGUAUUUCAACAGUAUUUAAAAAUCACUGGCACACAGCAAUAAUAAAAGGCAGACCAACUUUUAGUUGGAUCUAUUAUUGUUAAGCUCUUUAUAGAUAUGCACCCCUUCUAGCCUGCAUGUGGACAGACUGCUACCACCGCCCACUUUAAUAUGCCAAGGGGCCCCAAGUCUUCUUGACCCUGCCAGGUGGCCCUGUAUUAUCUCUGCCUGGAAUGCUCUUCCCCCUUUUCUUCAUCUACUAACUCCAUUUGUUUUACCAAUAUUUAAUGAGUGUCUACUAUAGGCCACUCUCCCUUGGGGUCACCUCCAGGAAGCCUUUGCUGCACCCCGACGUCCCAUUUCCAUGCCCCAUUCCCAGAAGUAGUAUUUGGUUGAACUGCAAGGACUACUGGGAACUCAUUUCCAAGUGACUACUGCAGUCGGGAUAUGUUUCGAACCAUGCCAUCUGUUUGAGAUGAAGUCUGGACUCAAGGUCUGGGAUUAAAUUCCAGCCUGAGAUUUUGAAAUCUGUGAUUUAAUCUUCCUGAUUCUCGCUUCAUUAGCAACCAGCACCUCAGAGGAUUAGUUUCCUGAUUUAUGAAUGAUCCCAUUAACAUCUUUAUCGAAUGCCUCAAAGCAUAUCAAAAUAGGACAGAGCCAGCCCCACCUUUCAGCCUUUUAAUUUGGAGCCAAUUUUUGCGUGGACAUCUGGAAUGCCUGGGCCUUGUAGGUCAGAGGAGUUUGCCCUGAGGUCCUGCCUCCUCCCCCAACCUUACAAUGCACCCUAUCCUCCCCUGACAGUCCAUCCUGUAGACACACACCUAGUCCUGGGUCCAUGAGCUGUCCCCUGCAAAGUGCUGUAACUCGCUGUCUGUGGCAGCUCUGACUCCUGUAUCUUUUACACACAGAACAGCAAUAUUAGCAAGCACCAGGCAUUAUAACAGGUACAUCUCAUGCUUUAUCUUUUUGUGAUUCAAAGAAAGGAUUAUCAUAUCCAUUUUAUACACAUGGAAACUAAUGCUGAUGCGCAGAGACAAGUAGCCAUCAAAUCACAGGAAAGGUCAUCCUCUAACCCAUAUGCUGCAGAAUGACUCCAGAACUUGUUUCUCUGCCUGGAGUGUCCUUCCCACUCGUCACUAAUGCUUCCCCCACCCAACUCCUACCUGUCUUAUGCCUUCCCUGAUACCCAGGCUGGCCUAGGUGCCUCCUCUGCACUUGCACUGCCCCGGGUUACCCAUAUCUUAGUACAGAGAACUGAUUGAGUACAGAGAACUUAGUAGAGAACUACAUCAGUAACUGUAGUUACUGAUGAUGUCAUUAUUACCUGUUUGCUUAAAAGAAUCUUCUUUUUCUGCCUUCUGCUGUCCUGCUCUAAGGACCACAUAUGUACAUUCUGUUCUGUUGCCUCUCUUUGGUGCUACUCAAAGUGUGGUCUGUGGUUAACAAUGGUUUGCAAAUUUCACCAGUCUGCAACUGGAUAGCUACAGAAAUUGAAAGAAGCUGUCUUGAAAUUUCUUGAACUCUUGGGCUCAAGAAAUCCUCCCACUUCAGCCUCCCAAAAUGCUGGGAUUACAGGCAUAAGCCACAGCACCCAGCCAUGAAGUAAUUUUUGAACAAAUCAACUUUGAGGUUACCUAUGAGAAAUGGGAAUGUCCAGGAAGCAGUUACAUAUAUGAGCUAGAAGCUCAGGAAACAAAGUCUGGGCUGGAGUUAUGGAUUUCAGAAUUGAAGCCAUCAGAAUGAACAAGAGCCCCUGAGAUGUGGAAUGAAAAGGGGAGCAUCUAAGGACAAACCUCUGGGUACCUAGCACUGUGUCUGCCACAUGGGAGAUAAUUAGGAACCCUUUGUCAAAUGAAGAGGUAGAUAGACAUGAACAUAAGUCUCUUUCAUGCCCAGUCCAAGCUUUCCUUACUAACCCUAUUUUACUCUUAAAUUGCACAGCAUUCAGAUAGACACUGCUGGGGCUGGCAGUGGGGUAAGAAAGAUGACCAGAAAAGGGAAGGCUGAAGGCCAAUUGCGGUGACUCACAUCCAUAAUCCCAGCACUUUGCAAGGCCGAGGUGGGAGAAUUGCUUGAGCCCAGGAGCUCCAGACCAGCCUGGGCAACAAAGCAAGACCCCGUCUCUUCAAAAAUAAACAAUAAAAAUGGCCAGGCAUGGUGGCAAGUGCCUGUAGUCCUAGUACUUGGGAGGCUAAGGUGGGAGGAUUGCUUGAGCCUAGGAGUUCAAGGUUAAAGUGAGCUAUGUUCAUGCCACUGUACUCCAGCCUGGACAAAAAGACUGAGACCCUGAUGCUAAAAAAUAAAAAAAGAAAAUAAAAAAAAGAAAGAAAAAGAAAACAUUGGAGAGAGCUGGAGUAACCAGUCCUGAACCUGGAGGUUUGGUGGGAGAUGAAGAGGAGGCUAGAAGAAAAAGUCAGAGCCAGGUUUUGAAGGUACAGGCUUAGACUUCAUCGUAAAUUAUAGAUAGGUGCUCUCUGUUUCCUGACAGUGUAAAGAAGAUAAGGACAGAGGUACAAGUAUUGCACCAUUGUUUGUAAUAGUAAAAGAAAUUUGGAAACAACCUAACUACCUACCGACAGGAGAAUAAAUACAUGUUGGUAUGGUCAAACAAUGGGAAUCCAACUUCAAUUAGAAUGAAUAAAUUAAAAUGUCAUGUGUCAUCAUAAAUCUCAAAAAUGCAAUCUGCUAAGUGUAAUGUGGUAUCCUGGGUAGGAUCCUGGAAAAGGACAUUAGUGGAAAAACUGGUGAAAUCUGAAUAAAGUCUAUAGCUUAGUUAAUAGUAUUGUACCAACGUUUAUUUCUUAGUUUUUGUUUUGUUUUGUUUUGAGAUAGUCUUGCUGCGUCGCCCAGGCUGGAGUGCAAUGGCGCGAUCUCAGCUCACUGCAAGCUCUGCCUCCAGGGUUCAAGCAAUUCUCCUGUCUCAGCCUCCGGAGUAGCUGGGACUACAGGAGCGUGCCACCACACCCAGCUAAUUUUUUGUAUUUUUAGUAGAGAUGGGGUUUCACCGUGUAAGCCAGGACAGUCUCGAACUCCUGACCUCAUGAUCCGCCCACCUCGGCCUCCCAAAGUGCUGAGAUUACAGGCUAUUUCUUAGUUUUGAUAAAUGCACCACAGUUAUGUAUGGUGUUAACAUUAGAAGCUGACUGAAAGGCAUACAGUAACUGUACUACUUUUGCAAUUUUCCUGUAAACCUAAAAUUAUUCCCAAAUAAGAAGGUUUAAAAAUAUAAGCUCAAAAAAAAAAAAAAAAAAACAAGUUGCAAAGGAAUUCAUGCAAAAUAACAGCAUUUACAAAAAGCUUUAAAACAUGCAAAAUAGUAGAAAUUGUUUAUGGAUACACCAACAUAUGUAAUAAAGACAUAAAAACAUCCAUGGGAAUGAUAGAUACCUAAUUUGAGAUAGUAAGAUUAAGAAAAACACAGGCCGGGCAUGGUGGCUUAAGCCUGUAAUCCCAGUGUUUUAGGAGACCGAGGCAGGUGGAUCGCUUGAGCCCAGGAGUUUGAGACCAGCCUGGGCAACACAGUGACACUUCUUCAUCUCUACAAAGCAUUAAAGAAUAUAUAUAUAGCUGGGAGUGGUGGUGUGCACUGUGGUCCCAGCUGUUAGGGAGGCUUAAGUAGGAAGAUUAAUUGAGCCCAGGAGGUCAAGGCUGCAGUGAGCCAUGGUCACACCACUGCAUUCCAACCUGGGUGGCAGAGAGAGACCUUGUCUCAAAAAAAAGGAAAACAGAAUAAUGCGUUUAACUAAAUUAUUUUUUUUUAAGAUGGGGUUUCGCUUUGUUGCCCAGGCUGGUCUCAAACUCCUGGGCUCAAAGCAAUCCUCCUGCCUUGGCCUCCCAAAGUGCUGGGAUUAUAGGUGUGAGCCACCAUGCCAGCUGAAGCACAAUUCUGACCAAUUUUUUUAUAUAAGUAGUAGUUAGGUUCUAUAAUACAUCCGUUUAAAUAUAAUCCCCAAGAUCUUUAGCUAACUUUUUUUCCUUCUUUAGCUAACCUUAUUUAUUUAUUUACUUAUUUAUUUAUUUCGAGAUGGAGUUUCGCUCUCGUUGUCCAGGCUGGAGUGCAAUGGCGUGAUCUCGGCUCAUCGCAACCUCCACCUCCAGGGUUCAAGUGCUUUUCCUACCUCAGCCUCCUGAGUAGCUGGGAUUACAGGCAUGCACCACCACACCAGGCUAAUUUUUUCUUUAUUUUUAGUAGAGACGGGGUUUGUCCAUGUUGCUCAGGCUGGUCUCGAACCCCUGACGUCAGUUGAUCUGCCCGCCUUGGACUCCCAAAGCACUGGGAUUACAGGCAUGAGCCACUGCACCCGGCCAGCUAACUUUAAAACCUAGGUUAAAUAUUAAAUAAUAAUUUUUGGGUAUCUGGAUAAUUUCUAAUUAAGAUAGAAUGCUCAAACAUGGGUCACCAAGCAUAGUCUGUCUACCUUUACUUCUUACUUUUCUAUAUUAUGGAGUGGCUUAACCUUUGGGUCAUUUUCAUGAGUGUGUUCAUCAUUGCCAUUUUAAGAAAGUGUAGGCCAGGCCCAGUGGCCCACGCCUAUAAUCCCAGCACUUUGGGAGGCUGAGGCAGGUAGAUCACUUGAGGUCAGGAGUUUGAGACCAGCCUGGCCAACAUGGUGAAACCCCGUCUCUAGUAAAAAUACAAAAAUUAGCCAGGCGUGGUGGCACAUGCCUGUAAUCCCAACUACUGAAGAGGCUGAAGCAGGAGAAUUGCUUGAACCCGGGAGGCGGAGGUGCAGUGAGCCGAGAUCGUGCCAUUGCACUCCAGCCUGGGUGACAGGGUGAGACUCUGUCCCCCCCGCAAAAAAAAAAAAAAAAAAAAAAGUAUAAAAAAGAUAUAUGUAUAUGGCUGUGGGGGUCAUAUUAUAUAUUCUUUGUAAACACUGUUGAUUUGAUAAAAUGUUUGUAUAUAAUAGAUAGUUCUCCAUGCCCUACCUCCCAGUUCUCUCCCUCCCUGAAACAGAACUUAGCUACUUAGGUAAAGUUGGAAAGAGGGUGAUUGAUAAAGUUGGAAGAAGGGUGAUUGAUACUGGGACCAACAGAGGCAGAGGAGUACGUCUGUGUGUUCGGUAUACAGAUUAUUUUCUCCAUAAGAAAACAAAAGCAAUUCUUAAAAUCAAACUAAUCCUAUUCCAGCAGGUACAGUUAAAAAAAAUAAAAUAAACUGAAACAUAUGUUUGUAUUAUAUUCUACACUGGUAAAAUCAGUAAAAAGAUGUUACUUUUUAGGGCAAAAUCAUCAAAUCAGUCUGACUUGCCCAAGGAUUAAACCUUUCCUGAUUACAUGAACCGUGGAUUAUUGUAUAAAAUUGCUUCUGAGCUAGCAGUUUCUAUGAAAAAGGUUUUUGUUUUGUUUUGCUUAUCCCAUUUAAAGUAUUAGGAGUUCAGCUUCUUUGUUUUCUGGGAGUUUGGGCAAAAUUGGAUUUACAAAAGCUCUUACUGGUCUCUAUAAACCAAUCAGGACAAAGCCCCUUUAAUUUAAAUCUUUAUAAUCUAAUUUGUUAAUACCCUCAGGAGGUAGAAAAAUUUUCCCCAUUCACACAAUGAGAUUUAAGGCUUUUCUCAUUUACAGGCCUAGAGACCCCAGAGUUUGCAGCUUCAUUUUUAUAACUCCUCAUCGGUCAGUAGCCACAGAACCACAAAAACUCACCAGUUCAGACAGAUCUCAAAGGGCUCUUCUCCUUCUUUUGGGCACAAAAGAGUUUAAGUGACUUGAUCUCACAAAUAAACAAUCUGUCAUACAAAAUGAACUAACAGGCUGGGUGCGGUGGCUCAUGCCUGUAAUCCCAGCACUUUGGGAGGCCAAGGCGGGCAGAUCACCUGAGGUCAGGAGUUCAAGACCAGCCUGGCUAACAUUGUGAAACCCCAUUUCUACUAAAAAUACAAAAAAUUAGCAGGGUAUGGUGGUAUGCACCUGUAAUCCCAGCUACUUGGGAGGCUGAGGCAGGAGAAUCACUUGAACCCAGGAGGCAGAGGUUGCAGUGAGCUGAGAUCACGCUAUUGCACUCCAGCUUGGGCAACACGAGGGAAACUUUGUCAAAAAAAAAAAAAAAAAAAAAAAAGAGCUAACAAACGAGAUUCUCUGUCAUCUCUCACCUAUCAGAGACUAGAUCCCACCAGCCACCCAGCAGAGAUCACCAGUGGUCAAACCAUGAAACCAGGCUCCUAACCAAGUCUGCUGCCUACCCAGGGGGAAGCUCACCACCCUGCACAAAUUCAACUUGAAUGCGUGGGCUGCCUUCUCACCCCAAUCCCCUGCAUUCAUGGGCAGGCUAUGGAACAGCAAAAAUACAAGUUAGAUGACUCACAAACAACCCUAGCCAAUAACCAGAAACUGAAAGAAUCAGAAGGAAAAAUGGGGAAACAGUCAGCAAAAGUAAAGUUCCAAUGCCUCUUGGGAUUCACUCAAGAAGUCAAGAAGAGACAUAGCUGGGCUUAAACAAUUUGUGAGAUUCUAUUGCUAAUUCCAGCAGAAGGCAUCUGGACAGAGCUUCCACUGCUGAAUUCCCAGCACGCAUAUAAGGGAAGAAACCUGAAAUCUCUAAGCAAGACAGCAAGAUCUUGGGAAAGAAAGAAGCUCUACACGGCAGGUGACUGGUUAGUUGAAUAAUCUGAAACUCAGUGGGGGCACAAACAUGAAACUGUUUUAUUUUCCUCCAGUCACUGCCUUCAACUCAGUGUUGUCACAUUUCCCUUCUCUGUGCCUUAACAGUAUCUUGGAUGGGCUCAUUCGUCUUCUAGUCAUUCAAUAUACACUAGUCCUCUCUUAUCCAAGGGGAUACUUUCCAAGAUGCUCCAACGGAUGCCUGAAGCUUUGAAUAAUAUCAGACCCUAUAUAUGCUGUGUUUUUUUCCUAUACGUACAUACCUAUGAUAAAGUUUAAUGUAUAAAUUACACACAGUAAGAGUUUAACAGUAAUAAUAAAAUAAAACAAUUAUAACAAUAUACCAGCAUCACUACUCUAGCACUUAGGGGCCAUUAUUAAGUAAAAUAAGGGUUACUUGAACAUAAGCACUGUGAUACCGCAACAGUUGAUCUGAUAACCGAGACCUUUACCAAGCGACCAAUGAAGGGUAGCAUAGACAGAGUGGAAAUGCUGGACAAAGGGAUAAGUCAAAGAAAUGAUUCCUCCUGAGCAGGACGGAGUGGAAUUGCUUGAGAUCUUACCAUGCUACUCAGAACAACAUGCAAUUUAAAAUUUAUGAAUUGUUUGUUUCUGGAUUUUUCUCAUUUAAUAAUUUCAGAGUGUGGUCGACCUCAGGUAACUGAAACCGCAGAUACAGGAGGAGGGACUACUGUAAUUUAAAACUCCAGUCUCAGCCAGGCGCGGUGGCUCACACCUGUAAUCCCAGCACUUUGGGAAGCCGAGGCGGGUGGAUAACCUAAGGUCAGGAGUUCGAGACCAGCCUGGCCAAAACAGUGAAACCCUGUCUCUACUUAAAAUACAAAAAUUAGCUGGGCAUGGUGGCAGGUGCCUGUAAUCCCAGCUACUUGGGAGGCUGAGGCAGGAGAAUUGCUUGAACCCAAGAGGCGGAGGUUGCAGUGAGCCAAGAUCAUGCCAUUGCACUCCAGCUUGGGGAACAAGAGCGAGACUUUGUAUGAAAAAAACCUCCAGUCUCACAUUCAUCAACCCAUCACCAUCAUCAUUACAUUCCCACCUCUCUCCUCCUCCCCACCCCCUCUCCCAUCCUGAAAGAGAAUCAUCUCUGCACUCUACAGCCAGAUAAACCAGAGAUAACUGUCCAUUUCAAGCUCCUUUCUUCUGCUCUAUUUGAAUAAAAAAAGGAAUGCUCAACAGAUAAUGGACUGAAUGAAACAGCAGACCACACCUUUUUUCUUCUCUAAAUUCCUUGUGUCAAAGCCUGACCUGUAUGGGGAUGGGAAGGUGGGGAAGAGGUUAAACUAGAUUUGAGAUCUGUUAUCCAUACAUUUCUCAUUUGCCUCUGUCUCCCAGUCUGUGACUUCUUAGCUUCCCUUGUUGAAUCUUUACCUUCUUGUCUCUCUGGAGAGCCCUAUCUCCUUUUUAUUCCCUCCUGCUUCCCAUCCCAGUCCUAGCCCUCCCCCAUACUCACCAUGGGCAGUGAAUAAGUUAUAUCUGAAAUCUUGACUUGAGUAAUUUAUUUCAAAGUUUCUCCUGGGAAUCUGGGGAAGAAUUUCUAUAUGGAGAGACUGUCAACCUUGAUAGUCCCCAACAUCCCCAAAACUCUUAGACUUCUUUAUGAAUCUGCCUCAAUUUUCACUCUGGAGAAAGUAAGGGUGAAAAGGAAGUGUAUCAGAAUAGGGAUGGGGUAUAGUGGGGAUAGGAUGGAGAUAGCAAUGGGAGUUGGGAUUCACCUGGAGCUGGAGAUUGCAACAGAUGGGAAAACAGACAGAAAUGAAGAUAGCGAUAUGGAUGCAAUGGAGACCACAUGCAGAUGGGGUUGGGAAAGAAUCUGAGGAUGGACAGAGGGACAGAGGAGAUAAGUGGGAGUGGAAUGGAGAUGGGCAGGUGGAUCUGUAGGGAUCCUUGGCCCCUCCCUGGGACCUAUGAGCUCAGAACCAGUAUGGAGAUAGGAGUGGUGAUGGAAGGAGAGUGGAAGUAGGAAUAGGAUGAGUGUACUUCCUGUGAUGAGGUCUCCUCAUUCAGCAGUCAACACUCGGGUAGGAAACUGGCAGGAUGGCUUGCUUGCUUGCUUUUCCCUCUUUCCCUCUCUCUCUUCCUCCCUCCCUUCCUUCCUUCCUUCCUGAGAUGGGAUCUCACUAUGUUGCCCAGGCUGGUCUUAAACUCCUGGGCUCAAGCAAUCCUCCCACCCCAGCCUCCAAAAGUGCUGAGAUUACAGGCGUGAGCCACUGAACCUGGCUGCAGAGGCCACUUUCCACUUGGAAAUGCUCUAGCUUCUGGCCAAAGUGGGGUUCCGUGAACCAGCAGCAAGGACCUCACCAGGGAGCUUGUUAGAAAUGCAGAAUCCCUGGUCCUUCCCCGGGACCUACUAAACCAGAAUCUGCAUUUAGUAAGAGUCCCAGUGUGCACACUAAAGUUUAAGAAGCAUUGUUCUAGAAAAAAAUUAAAAAGAAAAAAAUGGAAAAUAUAAGUAAAUCAAUGCAUUGUGUGGAAACUUGAAAAUAUAUACAUGCAAAAUGUUUUUAAAAUAAGAUGAUAAAGGAAAAGAAAUAAUGAAAAAGAAGCACUGCUGUAGUGAAUGCCAUGGCUGAAGCAGUGGCCACUCACCUUUCCCAGGCCACACUGCUGUUUCUGUCCCUCUGCAUUGAUGCAUUUCCUCUGGCCAUCCUGUCUGCCAAAUUCAGGAAAAGACACCAGGAGACUGGCAUCAUGAAAACUUCAGGUUAUGCUUCAUGUUUUUUUUUUUUAAUCCCUUAUAAGCACCAUUCAUUUUAAAAAGUUUUAAUGUUUUUAAAACAUUCCACCACCACCCACUUCAAAAAUUAGAAUUUACCCAGCACCCCAAAAGCAGCCCUUCAUCCAUACGAGACUUCCCUCAGGUCACACACCCCAUUCUAUCUCUAGAGGUAACCAUGAUCUUGAAUUUUAUGUUAGCUACUUGCUUGUUUUCCAUUUUACCACUUAUAUACACAUCUCUCAACAAUAUAGUUUCAUUUGGCUUGUUUUUUGACUUACUUUUUUCUUUUUCUAUAGGGACAGACAGUAGACAGGUCUCCCUCUGUCCUGUCAUGACUCACUGCAGCCUUGAACUCCUGGCUCAAGUGAUCCACACACCUCAGCCUCCUAAGUAGCUAGGACUCAUCCUCCACCAUACCUGGCUAAUUUUAUUUUACAUUUUUGUGCAGACAGGGUUUGGCUAUGCUGCCUAGGUUUUGUUUU
rnacentral:lncRNA from 10 species